GAUGAACGCUAGCGGGAGGCCUAACACAUGCAAGCCGAGCGGUAGAGUCUCUUCGGAGACUUGAGAGCGGCGCACGGGUGCGGAACACGUGUGCAACCUGCCUUUAUCUGGGGGAUAGCCUUUCGAAAGGAAGAUUAAUACCCCAUAAUAUACUGGAUGGCAUCAUCUGGUAUUGAAAACUCCGGUGGAUAGAGAUGGGCACGCGCAAGAUUAGAUAGUUGGUGAGGUAACGGCUCACCAAGUCAGCGAUCUUUAGGGGGCCUGAGAGGGUGAUCCCCCACACUGGUACUGAGACACGGACCAGACGCCUACGGGAGGCAGCAGUGAGGAAUAGUGGACAAUGGGUGAGAGCCUGAUCCAGCCAUCCCGCGUGAAGGACGACGGCCCUAUGGGUUGUAAACUUCUUUUGUAUAGGGAUAAACCUAGAUACGUGUAUCUAGCUGAAGGUACUAUACGAAUAAGCACCGGCUAACUCCGUG
rnacentral:rRNA from 1 species